rnacentral:rRNA from 1 species
AGAGUUUGAUCCUGGCUCAGGAUGAACGCUGGCGGCGUGCCUAAUACAUGCAAGUCGAACGAGGUAGCAAUACCGAGUGGCGAACGGGUGAGUAACACGUAGGUAACCUGCCUUACAGUUUCGGGAUACCCUAGGCGAAAGCUAGGCUAAUACCGAAUAAUUGGAACGGAGGCAUCUCCGAUCUCUAAAAGGGGCCCUUAAAGCCUCGCUGAAAGAUGGACCUGCGGCGCAUUAGCUAGUUGGUGAGAUAACAGCCACCAAGGCGAGGAUGCGUAGCCGACCUGAGAGGGUGAACGGCCACACUGGAACUGAGACACGGUCCAGACUCCUGCGGGAGGCAGCAGUAGGGAGUUUUCGGCAAUGGGGGAAACCCUGACCGAGCAACGCCGCGUGAAUGAAUGAAGGUCUUCGGAUUGUAAAGUUCUGUUAUAAGGGAAAAAUGAUAGGGUGAGGAAAUGCUCCCUAUUUGAUGGUACCUUAUUAGAAAGCCACGGCUAACUACGUGCCAGCAGCUGC